UCGAGGCUCAUGAGUUUGAGGCAACCGUAGAAAUCACUGUCAUACAGAGCCGAUGUAGAUUCUUUACUUAAGUGUGUGCCUGAGCCCAUGCCAGGGAGGGGGGUGUGAGAUGGCAAUUAAUGGCCUCCAGUGAAGUUGAAGACUUGAGGAAUGGGGCAUCACGGCCAGCCCUCAUUAUUCAAGCCAAGUCUGCUGUAGUCUAUUCACCCAAUGUACGAGGGUCCUCCAGCGCUGAAAGAAAGAGAUUGCAAGCUGGUGCUGGUGAUUCAGUGUCUCACCCUAAUGUGAGAGUGCAGUAUGAUCAGCCCUAUUGUGUCUCAGGGAUCCCCUCACAACGUGCCUAUCCACAUGUGCCCGUAGCCUCUACCACCUCUGCUGUAAGAGUCAGCCGUGCACAGAGCCCAAGUAAUAAUUAUUUGAAUGGUGCUAGUAAUGGUUUAAAUACACACAGUGUUUUAUCUAAGAGCUUGCCAUAUAUUAAUGCUGCUCCUGCUGCGUGCCAUAGCCUCAGCCAACAGGAGCCAACUACCUACAACUGUCAACCCCACUGGAACCUUGCUCCAUUUCGGCUAAAGACAGGACUGCUAGGAAAACGGGCUUUUUCGCCUCAGCUUUCUGUUUGCCCUGCCUGUCCCUCCCCUCCCAAGUCCUCUUCUCAAAGGGCCUCGGUAGUAAUUGAGAAAACCAUGCCUACUAAUCAGUCUUUUCUUUGGACGAGCAACAAGCUCUGGUACAACAGCAAUGGAGUUGUGCAACCCCCUAAUGCCAAAAUUCCUUCAUACUCUAAACAAGAGAACAGUGACUUGCACAUUACUGCCAUUUGUAAAUCUGGCUCACACUCCAAUGGAACCAUUUCCAGAGGCCUCAAAGUUGAUGCAAAAAAACUUACCCAACCAACUGUGCCUUUGAAAGACAUAUGCACAGAUGUGCUUAUGAAUCCUAGCAAGGCGGCCAAGGAUAUUCUGCAGCUUGAGAAGACAUUAGUGGAAAAUGGCAGAAGAAAUGAGCAUACCAUUGAAUGCUGCUUGGUACAAGGUACCAGUGAAUAUGCUGUUCAAAAACUCGCCAGAAGCAAUGUACAUUCAAGACACAGGAUGCUAAAUGGUCUGAACAAGCAACCAGAAACCAACAUGAAACAUCUCUGCAGUUCAGGUGGUGAUAUAACCACAAAUAUUACUGUUCCCAUCUGCCUUACUUAUGAAGAUGAGGAAUUGUGUUUUGCUCCCACUGAAACCAACAGUACCAUUCCAGAGGUAACGGGCCACAAUGUGACCUGUCCUCGGUCACCGUCUGUUUACACAGUUACAAACCAGAUAUCUGCCAUUCACCUCACAAAGGAAGAAUUCUCUCAUAUGGACACAGGACUUUGCCCAAUGAAACUUAAAGAAGAGCAGGAUGAUGCCGAUGUUCAGAGACAAGAAAUACUCCUAGAUGGUGAUGAGGAGGAGCUUCCAAAUAAGCUGGAGAAUAACUUAAGUGAUGACUCGGAUUGUGAUAUCUCCUCGACAACAUCCAUGGCAGCCUCAUCAAAUGUCGAGGAUCCCAUGAGUCCUGAUGUGGAGGGGGAUCUGGUGGAGAGAUCCGCUCUUGUGCCCAGUCUCUUCCCCCACAUGCCCCCCACGCUGUACUUCGGCACUGCCAAUGAAAGAGUGGAGUUGUUGUCUCCUGAACAGAGGAAGCUACUCAAAUGGAAGAUAACUACAGUCACUCCCAAUAUAGUGAAAAACACCAUCUUCAGAUCACACUUUAAAGCCACUAAAAAGAGCCAUGAUUGGCUGGGCUGCUGGGGUCACCAUAUGAAGUCACCAGGAUUCAAGACCAUUCGAGAGUACCAGAAGCUGAACCACUUUCCAGGCUCCUUUCAGAUCGGGCGGAAGGACAGAAUGUGGAGGAACCUGUCCAAGAUGCAGGCACACUUUGGCAAGAGAGAGUUUGGCUUCUUCCCACGCUCCUUCAUUCUCCCACAGGAUAUCAAGCUUCUGAGGAAGGCCUGGGAGGAGGGAGGUAGCAAGCAGAAAUGGAUUGUCAAACCGCCUGCAUCGGCACGUGGAAUUGGCAUUCAGGUCAUUCACAAGUGGAGCCAAAUGCCACGCAAGAGACCACUCCUUGUGCAGAAGUAUCUUCACAAGCCCUACCUCAUCAGUGGUAAUAAGUUUGAUCUGCGUAUCUAUGUGUAUGUGACCUCUUACGACCCACUCCGUGUUUACAUCUUUAACGAUGGACUAGUCCGUUUUGCAAGCUGCAAGUACUCUCCUUCUUUGAAAACCCUCAGCAACAAGUUUAUGCACCUCACAAACUACAGUGUAAACAAGAAGAACUCUGAGUAUCAGAGUAACAGUGAUGACAAAGCCUGUAAGGGCCAUAAAUGGGCUUUGAAGGCACUUUGGCAGUACCUGGGCUCUCAGGGAAUCAACACAUCUCUCAUAUGGGAUAAGAUCAAAGAUAUGGUCAUCAAGACCAUCAUUGCGUCUGACCCAUAUGUCAACACUUUGGUGAAGAUGCAUGUCCAUUCUCCCUACAGCUGUCAUGAGCUAUUUGGCUUUGACAUCAUGCUGGAUGAGAAUCUGAAGCCAUGGGUCCUGGAGGUGAACAUCUCACCCAGCCUGCAUUCUAACACUGCGCUGGAUGUCAGCAUUAAGGGACAAAUGAUACGUGACCUGCUGAACCUCGCUGGCUUCGUGCUGCCGUUGACAGAAGACAUCAGUCCAUCCAGUUCCAGUGCUAGCAGCUUGACCAGCAGUUUAUGUGGAAUUGCAAGAGAGAAAUGGAGAUCGGACAUUUCAACUGAUGAGAAAGUUAAGAGAGCCUUUUAUCUAAGACAGCGCUUGGGAGACCAGGAUUUCUGUGCCACAGUUCUGAACGUGCUGACACCUGAUGAUGUGCGUGUCCUGGCAGAGAGUGAGGAUGAGUUAAGCCGUAAAGGCGAUUUUGAACGAGUUUUUCCCUCUCAUGCUUCCUCCCGCUACCUCCGCUUCUUUGAGCAACCGCGAUACCUCAACAUUCUCCUCAACCAAUGGGAACAGAAAUACUGGCUCACCAGGAGCAAAGGUAUCAGUCUACUGAAGGAUUUUUGUGAGAGGAAGGUGCACCUGGGUAACCUUGCAGAUUCUGUUCAUCACUGGUCUUCCUAGUCUUACCAUAGACAAAGAUCUGACACCCACAGUUUAACAUCCUACAGAUGUCAGCUGACUAGAUCUGGAGUGAUAGUCAGUCAGAGGUCUAAUGCUGAAGAUGAUGACAACUCUGAUCUUGAGGUUCAGUCAGUCACUGCAAGUCUUCCGGACAUGAGCUUGCUAAGUACCAUUUGCCUGAGCCCCAGUCCUACCUCCAGCUCCAUUCUGGCCAGUGACAGCAUGCCUCACCAUGAUGACCUUCCAGCUUGACAGUUAAACACUGGACAUUUGUGGCUUUGAAACAAUGCACAAAGAUACGCACAUAUACACACAAAGUUGUGUGUAUAUGUCUUAUCUCAGCUGAAGCACCUAGCAGAUCUCUUAAUGUUGUAUAUUUGACUGGAUUAGCGUUAAAGGGAUAGUUCACCAAAAACUGAAAAUUCUCUCAUUUACUCACCCUCAUGUCGUUCCAACCCAUUUCCUUUUUCAUUUUUUUUUGCAGAACACAAUAGAUGAUGUGGGGCAGACUUUUAGCCUCAGUCACUAUUCACUUGCAUUGCAUCUUAUUUCCAUUCAAUAAAAAAGUGAAUGGUGCCUUAGGCUGUCACUUUAAUUUUCUCUCCAAAAGACACAGGUUGGAACAACAUGAAAGUGAGUAAAUUAAGACAGUAUUUUCAUUUUGGGUGAAGUAAUCCUUGCUGAUAUUCUUUAAAAGUACAUUUAUUUCUGGACCAGAAGUAUAGAGUAUUCAAACCUGCAAGUUUUGCCUUCGUUGUAGCAGUGGGUGACAGAGCUCUUCCUGUUUGGGACUUUGUGUUUCCAUAUGAGCCUAUAGGAUACUUCUGCUUUGUUUACAUCAAAGGUUAGUGCACACAUUUGGGUUGGUACAGGCCUCUGUUUUGCUGAUUGUAUUUAAACGUGUGGAAUGAAAUUGUGAAAUUUGGAAAAGAGGUACCAUUAAUAAAAUAAAUAUUGACCUUUUAUUGACAUUUGCAUGCCCUGUUGAAGAGAUGU